CUCUACUCAGCCGUUAUCACUGGAAACCUGCCCAUUCAUUUACAUUUACUCGCCUUUACCACAUGGGAGAGAAAGACACAGUGUCCAGCUUUCCUGUAAGAAAAUGAUUUCCCUGCCAGGCGUGAUGGCGCAUGCUUUUAAUCCCAGCACUCAGGAGGCAGGCGGAUUUCUGAAUUCAAGGCCAGCCUGGUCUACAAAACACAAUGUGGAGUGUAUCUCCCUGCCUUCCCACAUGGAGCCUUGCCACACCACAUGGCCUCCUCCAUGCCUGGCAGCACCCAGUCUAGGAGACUAUUUCCCUGCUGCGUUCUUCACUGACCACACCAUGGAGAGGAUGCUACCUCUGCUCUGUACUAUCGCUCUUGCUUCUUAGUUGGUCUGUCACACUGGGACUGCUCAUUCUAUCUAGAAGCCAGAGACAACGGAGACUUCAAGGAACUGAAGACACCAUCUACAGCAAAACAGUCCUGUGCAGUCCUUUCACAAGCCUUAGGAAAGCAGCUAAUUAGAUUUCUUCCACCACUUUGGAUACCAAGAAUUGAAGGGAGCAUGAAGAGCCUUAUGAUGCUAGUAAUAAAGUUUUAUGAUGCCAGUGACAUUUAA